rnacentral:rRNA from 1 species
AGUGAACGCUGGCGGUAGGCCUAACACAUGCAAGUCGAACGGCAGCACAGUAAGCGCUUGCUCUUACGGGUGGCGAGUGGCGGACGGGUGAGGAAUACAUCGGAAUCUACUUUUUCGUGGGGGAUAACGUAGGGAAACUUACGCUAAUACCGCAUACGACCUACGGGUGAAAGCAGGGGAUCUUCGGACCUUGCGCGAUUGAAUGAGCCGAUGUCGGAUUAGCUAGUUGGCGGGGUAAAGGCCCACCAAGGCGACGAUCCGUAGCUGAUCUGAGAGGAUGAUCAGCCACACUGGAACUGAGACACGGUCCAGACUCCUACGGGAGGCAGCAGUGGGGAAUAUUGGACAAUGGGCGCAAGCCUGAUCCAGCCAUGCCGCGUGGGUGAAGAAGGCCUUCGGGUUGUAAAGCCCUGUUGUUGGGAAAGAAAAGCAGCAGGUUAAUACCCCGCUGUUCUGACGGUACCCAAAGAAUAAGCACCGGCUAACUUCGUG